rnacentral:lncRNA from 1 species
GUAAAAUGCAUUCACUUAACACACUACUUACACAUUUUAUUAUAGGUAUAUUGAAUAAAUCCGAAGUCACAGUAGAGGAUUUUGGAUUGUCUACAGUUAUUUUGAGGAUAAAUUAAAACACUGUAAUUAAAAGGAUCUUUGUAAAUAUGCAAGUGUUAAACAAGUAUAAAGCAUUGUAAUCAUUUAAUUAAUAUAUGUGUAGAUGUAUGUACACAUAUAUACACGUGUGUGUCUGAACUAGAUGGAGCUCAAAAUCCAACCAAAGGAACAACUGAUAGCUGAUCAAAGAUUUUCAUCAACAAUAAAAAUAUUUUAUGCCUAAUAAAAAUCUCAUGGUGACUCCACACAUAUUGGAUAGAAGGGCCUUGUAUAAAGUCUACCAAUAAUCUCAGAAUAAUCUUCUCAUUCAGUAGCACAGGAAUGUUAAAAAUAUGUUUUCUGCUGAAAAAGCAAACACAAUGCCUACAAUAACUCAAUAACUACAAUAUACAAGGUUUAGUUAAAUCUGCUUGUUUUUUUUCUGUGAAAAUGUAUUUAGGCCUCACAUUUUAAUAUAAAACAUUUUAUUUAAUUAAUGUUUAAUUUAAUAAAAUAAUUAAAUUAAACAUUCUUCAAUGUUUAAUAUAAGCA